CCUACGGGAGGCAGCAGUGAGGAAUAUUGGUCAAUGGGCGCGAGCCUGAACCAGCCAAGUAGCGUGAAGGAUGACUGCCCUACGGGUUGUAAACUUCUUUUAUAAAGGAAUAAAGUGAGGCACGUGUGCCUUGUUGUAUGGACUUUAUGAAUAAGGAUCGGCUAACUCCGUGCCAGCAGCCGCUGUAAUACGGAGGAUCCGAGCGUUAUCCGGAUUUAUUGGGUUUAAAGGGAGCGUAGAUGGGUUGUUAAGUCAGUUGUGAAAGUUUGCGGCUCAACCGUAAAAUUGCCAUUGAUACUGGCAGCCUUGCGUACAGUUGCUGUCGGCGGCCUUCGUUGUGUCGCGG
rnacentral:rRNA from 1 species